rnacentral:rRNA from 1 species
AGCAGCCGCGGUAAUUCCAGCUCCAAUAGCGUAUAUUAAAGUUGUUGCAGUUAAAAAGCUCGUAGUUGAAUUUCGGGAUCGACGGGUCGGUCGCGCCUCUGGUGUGUACUGGCCCUGUCGGUUUCUCCCUUCUGACGAACUGCGAUGUCAUUAAUUUGGUGUCGUAGGGAAUCAGGACUGUUACUUUGAAAAAAUUAGAGUGUUUAAAGCAGGCAUUCGCUUGAAUACAUUAGCAUGGAAUAAUGAAAUAGGACGUUUGACCUUAUUUUGUUGGUUUCUAAGAUCGACGUAAUGAUUAAUAGGGAUAGUUGGGGGCAUUAGUAUUCAAUUGUCAGAGGUGAAAUUCUUGGAUUUAUUGAAGACUAACUACUGCGAAAGCAUUUGCCAAGGAUGUUUUCAUUAAUCAAGAACGAAAGUUAGGGGAUCGAAGACGAUCAGAUACCGUCGUAGUCUUAACCAUAAACUAUGCCGACUAGGGAUCGGAUGAUGUUAAUUUUUUAAUGUACUCAUUCGGCGCCUUAAC